GCACCAACCUACUGUAAGCCCAAAGAAAGUCCACGAUCAAAAUCAAACCUGUUAAUAGUUUUAUUUUGUAGUGAAAGCUACCGAGCUGCGAGUAUUCUUGAGCUUCACCGUCUUCUCUCCACACUCAAUCACCUGAACAAGGAUUUUAGAGAGAAUGGUUUCUCUUGAUGUUUCUUAGCUGUUACUUUUAACUUCAAAACCUAGAUAGCUAAGCAAUCAAAAGGACCAUCAAAUGGCCGAGCUCCAAAAUUCCAGCUGAAACAUAGAAAAUCAAUAUUAAGGACUACAAACACAGGCUUGUGAGCUGCAUAUGGCUUUGUAAUGACAGUAUGGAGACAUUGUGAUAAAGAAUGAAGGAAACUCUGGAAGUUAGCAACAAGAAAAGUGGAUUGAGUCAUCUAUUCAGAUAAGUUCAAGUUCAACAAGCUUUGCUUGUUCCAGAAUUCUAUCACUCCGGCGGUGCUCAUAUCUGAGAGCUGGUGAGGUUCUGGAUGGCGUUGUGGGUUGACCUUGAGGAUUGACUUGGGGCUGCUUUGCUUGUGCUUGGAGCUUCAACAAAAGGGAGCUAAACUUAUCAAGCUACCCACCGCCAUUGCCAGCAAGGUUGAGACAGGAAGAAUCAAUGCGGUUAGCAAAGCAGCGUUUCUCACGGCUGGAGUCACGUGGGAGCGUGGAAGGAAUGAAUGGGAAAGAGCCCAAAACGCACAUGGAAACACAUAGAUGUUAGAGCCUCGUGAACUUCACUUUCCCACGUGCCGGCCUUUGAGUUAUGACUUUUUCCAGCCUCAGCCUCGACUUCUCUUUCUCAGUUACCACAUCUUUUGGACUUUCUGUCAAUCUUCUUCUUCUUUCCACUUUUCACUUUUUAUCCCUCAAUUUCCACCUUUGGAUUUGGGGUCAAUGAGAUCAUCCAAGGGUUAAAACUAGUUCUUUGUUUGAUGCAUUGAUUGGUCAAUAAAGAAGUAUAACGUAUUAUACAGGAUUUACUGGAGCUAAAGGAAGAGUUUAGAAUUCUGGGGGUUAGAUUUAGGUGGUUUUCCAUCAAAUGAAGUCAAGAAAAAGGGGUGGGAGAACAUUUAUUAUGGCAAGCAUAUGAAGGAAGAAAUUGGAAAGGCUGAUGCAGGAAAAGAAAAACAAAAGGGUGUUAGUCAAUGCAUCAGGUUAAAAGGGUGACGGCAAACUGUUAUAUAAACUCCCUUUUUUUAUCACUUGUAAUCACAAUUGAGAAGCAUCCCAAUUCUACAUAAAAUUACUUUUUCAA